rnacentral:tRNA from 8 species
GCGACACUAGCUCAGUUGGUAGAGCGCAACCUUGCCAAGGUUGAGGCCACGAGUUCGAACCUCGUGUGUCGCUCCA